rnacentral:rRNA from 1 species
AACGAACGCUGGCGGCAUGCCUAACACAUGCAAGUCGAACGAGACCUUCGGGUCUAGUGGCGCACGGGUGCGUAACGCGUGGGAACCUGCCCUUAGGUUCGGAAUAACUCCCCGACAGGGGUGCUAAUACCGGAUAAUGUCUUCGGACCAAAGAUUUAUCGCCUUUGGAUGGGCACGCGUUGGAUUAGCUAGUUGGUAGGGUAAAAGCCUACCAAGGCGACGAUCAAUAGCUGGUCUGAGAGACUGGUCAGCCACACUGGGACUGAGACGCGGCCCAGACUCCUACGGGAUGCAGCAGUGGGGAAUAUUGGACAAUGGGCGAAAUGCUGAUCCAGCAAUGCCGCGUGAGUGAUGAAGGCCUUAGGGUUGUAAAGCUCUUUUAACCGGGAUGAUAAUGACAGUACCGGGAGAAUAAGCUCCGGCUAACUCCGUG